rnacentral:rRNA from 1 species
CAGUCGCCGCGGGAAUACAGAGGGUGCAAGCGUUAAUCGGAAUUACUGGGCGUAAAGCGCGCGUAGGUGGUUUGUUAAGUUGGAUGCGAAAUCCCCGGGCCCAACCUGGGAACUGCAUUCAAAACUGACUGACUAGAGUAUGGUAGAGGGUGGUGGAAUUUCCUGUGUAGCGGUGAAAUGCGUAGAUAUAGGAAGGAACACCAGUGGCGAAGGCGACCACCUGGACUAAUACUGACACUGAGGUGCGAAAGCGUGGGGAGCAAACAGGAUUAGAUACCCCCGUAGUCCCUGUCUCUUAUAC